CGCAUUCUCAUCACAGAAUUCUCUCUAAUCAAUCUCGUAAAUAUUUAGCUCAAUAGGAAGAUUUCAGUGAUUUAAGUUUAUAAAAAAAAAGUUCAAUCUGUAACAGUGUGAUAAAAAACUCAAUAGGCGAAGAACAAUCAAGGUUAAGCCAAAGAUUUGUGAUAUAAUUUGUUAAAGUAGUGGAUGGAAAUAUGACCGACUUCUUGAACAUAUGUAAUUGAUCACUUGAAAGAUAGUAAUGUUCUGCAAUUGUUUUUAUGGCAAAGACUGAUGUAUGCUAGUUUAUUCAAAAAAAUAGAUAUGUGGAUCUGUAACAUGGCGUGAAACUUUUACAGCUGUCAUAAAUUUCUCAGUAGCUUGACAGAAAAUUUAACUCCUUGUUACACCUUUAAUGUUUCUAUUACUUUACUCACGAUGUGUAGAUUAAAUUUUUUAACAACUUUUAUUUCAAUUAAUUGCAUUGUUUUAGUAUUAUUUGUGUCCAGUUACUUUUCUUAGUUGAUAUAUAGACUUCUCAACAGUUGAUAAAUUCAAAGCUAAGGAAUGAUUUUGCGGGCAUCCAAUACAUCUAGUAAAUUAAUCACAGGAUAAAGCAGCCUCCAAACUGGAAACUUUCCAUCGGAUGGGGAAGUAAAAUGUCGGUCCCGGCCUUGGUAGUUGUUAGGCCGUUAUGUCAUUCCAGUUGACUCGGAGGAAACCAGGAUAGUUGGACGAUCAAUGAUUAGGAAAAAAGGGAAAAUGGAUCCGCAUCAUUGGCAUCGUUGAUAUCGGCAGCCUAAGCCGAUAUGCUUUGCUAUACGGGACGGACACUUCACCAGGCGUUGUAAAACAUGAGACGAGAAGCAGCAGAAAGGAUUAUAGUUUAAAAUUAACUUUAUUGUUUUGUUAGUGUACUUAUUAUUACAUUCAAUUUGGCAAGGAGAGGAUGUGGCAUCCUGAACAUUAACCUCAGUUAGAUAGUUAGCGAUAAGCGUGUAGAGCUGUGUAUGUGUGAGUGUAAAGCUAGCGUGGUUCAGGAGUCAGUCAGAGAGAUGAAGCCGAACAAUAAAGAUGGAGCUCGGCUCCCGUGUAGAUGAUAAA